CAUGCACUGGUGGGGUCCCUUGGCCUGGCCUGUGUCCUCUCUCAAUCCAUCUGGGACACCUCAGGGGAUGUCAGACUGCCAGUUUUGGCCCAAUCCCUGCAGGCCAGGCCAAGGGACCCCACCGGUGCAUG
rfam:Myotis lucifugus cont2.14687, whole genome shotgun sequence.